rnacentral:lncRNA from 1 species
CAAGGAGGUUAACACAUAUUUAUUGCUGCUUUACGUCUUUAUUAAGGUGGCUAAAUUUAUUACUAUAGUAGUGUUCCCCCCUCUGUAAUAUUAUACGAAAAAUCCCUCUAACUAUCCUACUACUCGCUUUUCUUCUUACUAAGGGCUGAUUUUUAUGCUACUGUAGUCAUAUAAACUUACAAAUAUAAUUGUUUAACUAGAUUAUCAAGUUACAUAAUAAUCCCAACCGAUACACGUGCGUUAAAGUUAUAAAAUGAAGGUAACAAAUGCUAUUUAUGGUACUAGUUUGUCCAGUUUAGUCGCUACUACUACAUUAAUAAACGAGAAUUUAGGGAAUAUCAUUUGUUUAAUUGUUCACAUUAAUUUAGUAACUCGUAAAUCAAUGUCAGAAAACUCAUUACACUCGAAUUAAUUGGUAUAAAUGUUAAUAGAGCAAUAUUCAUUCACUUAAUGGAAGGUUAUUUAGAUGAUGAUGAUGCGGCAGACAUUUUUGAGUGCUUACUGUUAUCGUAACAAGCGGAAAAAGGGAGAGUUACGCUUAUAAAAUAUACAUAAUUACAUGGCAAACAGCUUUAAAAAGAAAUCCUAAUUAUCAUUAAUUACUUAAAGGAAGUGUGCUUUAAAAAAUUUGUUACCGUAGAAGCGCGCUGAUCACUAAGAUAAUUCGAGUCUUUUAAUACAUCAAUGCUGCCAUAACAAUAACCUUAUUGUUAUUAUUAUUAUAAUAGCAAACAAUAAGGAAAAGAUAAAUUAAUUCGACUAAAGAAAGCAAUAAUAAAUCUGUUUUAGAUUUUUCCUUAUACUAAUUGUUAAGUCACGUGUUUUUAAUAUCUGCUAGCUAAAGAAAAACGAGGAGAAACCUUCGAGAAAUUUGAUAGAUAGAUUAUUGCGGUUCAAAGGUCACGCGGCUGCGGUCAACAGAACUAUAUUAGCCGUUUUAAUUAACCGAAAUUGGCAAGUUAAUUGCGUAAAGAUAAUUGAUACCGAAAACAGACAGACAGACAGGCAGACGGAUUGCGCUUUUUUUGUAAUAGUAGUACCAGAUGCAUAAGGAAAUAAAAGAAGUUUAAGAGGAAAAAUAGGGGAAUAACAAUCGAUUGAAUGUUGGACGAAUGCCAAUUUUCAAUCGGGGUAUUUUUUCCCCUCUUUUUUCAAUUUAUGGCAUCGGCCACGUCACGUGACGCUGGAAAUAAUAAUAAUUUGUUUAAGAAUCACUUAUUAAGGGUAUUAGAUUCUCGUAAAUAUUCGCUAAAUUCCCCAAUUUAUCUUCGCUGUAGUAGAAUGAAACUAUUGAUUUACGAUAUUAGUCGAGGUGUGUUUACAUAUAUAUCAGAGUUUACUACGUAGGUAUUGUUAAACAAUGCGAUAUGUUUAAUAUUUAACAAAGUAAACAAGUCCCAUUCAAUUCCCUAAAGGUUAAAAGAAAACAAAAAGCUUGGAAACAACUUGGCAAACCUCCAAAUGUCGCCAAAUAAAAUGGUUGAUGUUACGUCAGUACUUGGCUUCUCACCUCCCUGUUGUAAACUAUGUUAAUGUUUUACGUGUUUUCUCCUUUGAUCUAUAAUUAUUUGACCCGGAAUAAUGUGUGGUUAGGUCUUUCUUACAAACAAUACGAGAAGAAGAAACGGGAGAUAAAUAAAAGUGGAAGAAACAGAUUAGUCUGAUAAACAAGAGAGGAAAAUGGAUUGCCUAUUGAAUAGAUAUGGAAGGAAAAAAAUCUAAAUGGAAAUAGAAGAAAAGGAGUAUAGUAUUUACCAGGCAGAUAGGAAAAAAUAAACAUUACUAAAUGGAUACAGGAGAAAGGAGCGCUAACAGGUGAAGGAGAUAAGCACGUUUUAGAAGUGUUUUUCCUAAAUAAGUAUAAGAUAAAAGUUUAGUAAAUUGCCAGAAAAUAAAAAAAGAUAUACAGUACUAUUAAAAGAAUUAAAUAAAAAUUUUAUUAAAGACGAAGGAGGAUUGUUUAACAAGCGGAAGAAGGGCAUAGCUAACUAAAUAAAGGUAAGAAAACAAGGAACAGUAUAGUCAACAGAUGGAAUAACAGGAAAUUUGACUAAUCAAAAUAAGAAGAAAAUGAAUGUAUUAAUGUUGAGUAAUAUUAGAAACGAAUAUUUGAGAAAUAAAAAGGAAUAUCCUGAUUAAAUAUAUGUGGGAGGAGAGGAUGUAGGCUGCUUUUACAAGCAAUUUGAAAAAAAAAGUAGAAAAAGCCGAGUAACCGAAGAAUUGAAAUAAAAAACAAGAGUAAAUUUUAAUCAUUAAUCAAAUUUUUAUGUAAUUUGAUUUAGUUUUUGUUGCUAGAAAUUAAAAAAGAGGAAAAAUCGAAGACGAUUUAUAUACAGCUUAUACAUACUUGUACUGUAUAAGAUAAUUAGAUUAUCUUAAUUCAAUAAAUUUUCCUUUCUUUAGAAUUAUUUAAUGAAUAGUUUAAUAACGAUUUGCUUCACUUAACCGAUUUACUAAAAUAUAAUUGGAAGGGAAAUUUUUUCAUCUCGUACUAUCCACGUAAAUAGAGAGUGAGAGGAUUUCUUUGAGUCGCAUGAAAAUCUUGUAUCCAGAAAGAAUAGGAUAAUAUAAAACGAUUGUUAGAAAUUAUUGACGCGGAUCGGAUUAAGGCUAUCUUCACUCUAUUUUACCGUAAAGGAAAUAUAUUUUUUGAUUCAAUUUCGUAGAGCAGAAAUUCUAUCCAAUUUAUUUUCCGUAAAUCUAAAUCCUCGUACUACAUAUUUAAAGGUCUUGUAUAAUUAAUGAAUCCGUCUCUUCGUUAAUCCAUUCGAUCCAUAAACAAACGAAAGCGUUAAUCCGCUAAUAUUUUCAUCUGUUUAUAAAUUCUCACUUUCCAAUUAUACAAAUACCUUCUACUAAUGCAAUAUUAUGCUUCUUUUCACAUUUAUACUAGAAUGUCUCGUUCUAUCUUCACAUUAUUCAUUUCAUCCCUACUGAAUUUUCUCUUUCUUUUCUAUUAU